rnacentral:tRNA from 1 species
UUAUGUAAAGUGUUUAUAGCACAUUAAAUUUUCUAUUUAAAAGAGUAAAUUUCUACAUCAG